rnacentral:siRNA from 1 species
UUCAAGUCUACUCGCUGCCCUG